UACGUAGGGUGCAAGCGUUGUCCGGAAUUAUUGGGCGUAAAGAGCUCGUAGGCGGUCUGUCGCGUCUGGUGUGAAAAUCCAGGGCUUAACCCUGGACCUGCAUCGGGUACGGGCAGACUAGAGUGCGGUAGGGGAGAUCGGAAUUCCUGGUGUAGCGGUGAAAUGCGCAGAUAUCAGGAGGACACCGGUGGCGAAGGCGGAUCUCUGGGCCGUAACUGACGCUGAGGAGCGAAAGCAUGGGGAGCGAACAGG
rnacentral:rRNA from 1 species